GACGAACGCUGGCGGCGUGCCUAAUACAUGCAAGUUGAGCGCUGAAGGUUGGUACUUGUACCAACUGGAUGAGCAGCGAACGGGUGAGUAACGCGUGGGGAAUCUGCCUUUGAGCGGGGGACAACAUUUGGAAACGAAUGCUAAUACCGCAUAAAAACUUUAAACACAAGUUUUAAGUUUGAAAGAUGCAAUUGCAUCACUCAAAGAUGAUCCCGCGUUGUAUUAGCUAGUUGGUGAGGUAAAGGCUCACCAAGGCGAUGAUACAUAGCCGACCUGAGAGGGUGAUCGGCCACAUUGGGACUGAGACACGGCCCAAACGCCUACGGGAGGCAGCAGUAGGGAAUCUUCGGCAAUGGACGAAAGUCUGACCGAGCAACGCCGCGUGAGUGCAGAAGGUUUUCGGAUCGUAAAACUCUGUUGGUAGAGAAGAACGUUGGUGAGAGUGGAAAGCUCAUCAAGUGACGGUAACUACACAGAAAGGGACGGCUAACUACGUG
rnacentral:rRNA from 1 species